rnacentral:ncRNA from 2 species
UGAGGUAGUAGGUUGUAUAGUC